GAUCCUACGGGAGGCAGCAGUGGGGAAUCUUGCGCAAUGGGCGAAAGCCUGACGCAGCAACGCCGCGUGCGGGAUGAAGGCCUUCGGGCUGUAAACCGCUUUCAGCAGGAACGAAAAUGACGGUACCUGCAGAAGAAGGAGCGGCCAACUACGUGCCAGCAGCCGCGGUGACACGUAGGCUCCAAGCGUUGUCCGGAUUUAUUGGGCGUAAAGAGCUCGUAGGCGGUUGAGUAAGUCGGGUGUGAAAACUCUGGGCUUAACCCGGAGACGCCAUCCGAUACUGCUCUGACUAGAGUUCAGGAGGGGAGUGGGGAAUUCCUAGUGUAGCGGUGAAAUGCGCAGAUAUUAGGAGGAACACCGGUGGCGAAGGCGCCACUCUGGACUGAAACUGACGCUGAGGAGCGAAAGCAUGGGUAGCAAACAGGAUUAGAUACCCUGGUAGUCCAUGCCGUAAACGGUGGGCACUAGGUGUGGGUUCCAACUAACGGGAUCCGCGCCGUCGCUAACGCAUUAAGUGCCCCGCCUGGGGAGUACGGUCGCAAGACUAAAACUCAAAGGAAUUGACGGAAUC
rnacentral:rRNA from 1 species